rnacentral:rRNA from 1 species
CAUAGGUUAAUGAGGCGAACCGGGGGAACUGAAACAUCUAAGUACCCCGAGGAAAAGAAAUCAACCGAGAUUCCCCCAGUAGCGGCGAGCGAACGGGGAGGAGCCCAGAGCCUGAAUCAGUGUGUGUGUUAGUGGAAGCGUCUGGAAAGGCGCGCGAUACAGGGUGACAGCCCCGUACACAAAAAUGCACAUACUGUGAGCUCGAUGAGUAGGGCGGGACACGUGGUAUCCUGUCUGAAUAUGGGGGGACCAUCCUCCAAGGCUAAAUACUCCUGACUGACCGAUAGUGAACCAGUACCGUGAGGGAAAGGCGAAAAGAACCCCGGCGAGGGGAGUGAAAAAGAACCUGAAACCGUGUACGUACAAGCAGUGGGAGCCUCUUUAUGGGGUGACUGCGUACCUUUUGUAUAAUGGGUCAGCGACUUAUAUUCUGUAGCAAGGUUAACCGAAUAGGGGAGCCGAAGGGAAACCGAGUCUUAACUGGGCGUUAAGUUGCAGGGUAUAGACCCGAAACCCGGUGAUCUAGCCAUGGGCAGGUUGAAGGUUGGGUAACACUAACUGGAGGACCGAACCGACUAAUGUUGAAAAAUUAGCGGAUGACUUGUGGCUGGGGGUGAAAGGCCAAUCAAACCGGGAGAUAGCUGGUUCUCCCCGAAAGCUAUUUAGGUAGCGCCUCGUGAAUUCAUCUCCGGGGGUAGAGCACUGUUUCGGCAAGGGGGUCAUCCCGACUUACCAACCCGAUGCAAACUGCGAAUACCGGAGAAUGUUAUCACGGGAGACACACGGCGGGUGCUAACGUCCGUCGUGAAGAGGGAAACAACCCAGACCGCCAGCUAAGGUCCCAAAGUCAUGGUUAAGUGGGAAACGAUGUGGGAAGGCCCAGACAGCCAGGAUGUUGGCUUAGAAGCAGCCAUCAUUUAAAGAAAGCGUAAUAGCUCACUGGUCGAGUCGGCCUGCGCGGAAGAUGUAACGGGGCUAAACCAUGCACCGAAGCUGCGGCAGCGACACUAUGUGUUGUUGGGUAGGGGAGCG